rnacentral:lncRNA from 1 species
AUAUACAGUAAAUUUGUUAUCAUUGUAGUGAAUAGGAAAGAUAAUUGAUCUCUUCCCUUAUUCCAUCUGAAUAAAUACAUGCAUACACAAAAGAUACACCUAAUUUGAUAUACUUGUUAGAAAAAAACAUCUAAUUAGAAUCAAACCUCGUUGUUCUUUGCAAAUCCCAGAUUUUCUCUGCUUUUUCUUGUCUACAAGACGCCAUAUCCCCUUUGUCUACAUGGCACCAUCUGUUUUUUCUAUUACACAUACAUUUUCAGAUGACAAGUUAUAUUUUCAGAUCCAAUGCUUUUUUCCCCCUAAUUGAACACACUUUUUAUUUCUAAAACACAUUACUUUUUUUUAUAUUUGACACGUUAUUUCUUAUAAAUACAUCGAAGUUUCUUCUAUAUGAUAGAUGAUUUUAUAUGUCUGGAUAGUACAUGUGGUUUACUUGAACACAACGUUGUUAAUGUUCUUCUUAAAAUAACUUUGUCGUUUUGAGGAAAUUAAAGGGGUAUUUAAGUCCACCAAGUUAGGGUUAGGAGAAAAAAGGGAAUCUUGGUUUCGAGAGAGAAAAAGGAGGCGAUUUCAAUAGAUAAAAGA